GGUGAUAACAACAACCAGGAACCAGCGCUUCACGAGUGACCUGCUGCAACGCUUUGUGAUUUUCUUUUAAUUUCAUUGCCUCUGAAAAAAAGACAAUGCCUACUUUGUGUGCGGUAUAUACUUGUGGUAAUAAUGCUACUCAUGACAAAGAGAAACGAUUCUUCAGAAUUCCCAAAAUUAAAAAUGGUGACGAUACAGACAAAGAGCUGUCCAGAGAACGCCAUGUGCUGUGGUUCAAAAACAUACAUCAUAAGGACUUAACUGAGAAAAAAGCUAAUUACACCUGCGUGUGUGGUGACCACUUUAUAUCUGGAGCAGCGGCAAACCUACGUGAUAAAACAAAUCCAGAUUGGGCACCAACACUCAAAUUAGGACAUGAUAAGAUCAAGAUGAAAACUCAUCUCGCAGUAUCAAGAAGCAACAGGAUAAAUGAAAGAUCUGCCAAGAAAGCCAGAUUAGAAGCAGUGCAAACCUUAGCCAGUUUGAAUACACAAGGAGAACAAUGUGGGUCAACUUUGCCAGACCCACUUUCUAUUUGGAGAGACAGUGGCUGCUUUCCACUCUGAUGAGGAAGUAGGGCCUUCUGGGUGUUUUGGAUAGGAGACGGCUCAUCUGCUGCAUUAAAAGAGAGCUGGAAGCUUUGGCACGGCUCCAGUCCAAGCUCAGAGGGUGAGAAGGACUCAGGUGGAUCUGUAAAACUACAAUACCAACACUCAGCUGAUUUCCAGAUAAGUAUAUUCACACCACACAACCUCAUGCAUCCCCCAGGGAUUUUCGUGUGAUAUGUUAAAUGUCUCAAACUGUACAUUCAUUCUCGUAUUUAUUCCCCCAAGGUUCAUUCAACUCGAUUGCAUGGUUUUACAGAAUCGCUCUAUCAUAAGUUAUUUUUAUUAUCAGGCCUUUCCUUCUUACUGUUAAUGAACUCUUUUCUUCGUGGCUGUGCGAAACUCAUGCUGCACUCCAGCAUGCAACAUGGAGUUCUAAACUGUAACGAAAUCUUUCAACUAGUUAAUGACAACCAUUAGAUGCAAUGUGAUCUAGCCAUACAUGUUUGAACCAGAUCCUGUCUGACAAAUAUUCAGAAAGGUAAAUUCAUACCUUACGACUUCUUUGUUGUUUCUUGUAAAAGAAAAGAGAUGCAAGAAUCCUUUGGCAAACUGGUAUGUGGGUGUCUCAGUUUGACAAAAAAAAAGUAGCUGGUAUUCUGACAAAACUGUCGAAAGUGCUGUCACUGAUUAUCAUGUGGAUCCCUACCAGGGGACUACGUAGCUAUGGGGUUGGGGGCUCGGAUUUCUAAAGGUGUGAAAAAGAUAUAGAAAAGAAACAGUCAAACUCAUUGCAUGUCAUUAUCCUGACAUUGAAUCACUGCAACAUGUAAAACUGUCUCUACAUGAUUGGGGACAUUUUCCUUUUUUAAGAGAAGGUUUAAAGGAAUGACUUCAAAAACAGCUCAAAGCUGUUUUCAGAGCAGUGCUGCCUACAGAAUUGUCUGCCUAGUCACUCAACCCAAGCCCAACUGAUUUCCCUGAGAGAAUCUGGAUCGAAAGGUUUCAGGUAGGUAUGGCAAGGCAUGUCUGAAAAGUGCCUGAAAAAUUAACAUUUCAUUUCAAUGCUCCAGGGUUUCUGGUUUAAUCCUGAGCUCGGGUUACUGUCUGUGUGGAGCUUCUGUGCAUGUUCAUGUGUGCAUCCUCUGAGUUUCCUCCCACUGUCAAAAAACCAUGCCAGUAGGUGGACUGCCUAUGCUACACUGCCCCUAGGUGUGAACGAAUAUGUGAUUGCAUGGACACAGAGCCCUGUGUAAGGCUGGCAACCCAUUGAGGGUGUAUUCCCAUCUCAUACACAGAGUUCCAAGGACAGGAUCCAGAUCCAGAUGUGGAUAAACCAUUACUGAAGAUGAAUGAAUGAACAAAUGGAUGAAUUUAAUUUACAUGUUUUGAGUUAUUGUCACAAAUACCGUAUAUAUACAUACUUAUGAGAUAUUGUUUCCCUGAAAAUAAACACCGGUUA